UCUUUUCAGAAUGAAAUAUGAUAUUUUGUUGAACAACUGAAAUAAGAAUAAUUACUUAUUUUUUUAAUAUCAUAUUUCUAAUAUAAGAGCAUCUAUAAUUAUCUAUAUCAAACUCUAGAAAUCUGACAUAAUUAAACUCAACAAACUUUAUAUCUCUAUUAGUGCAGUAGAAUCUAUUAUCUUUAGAAUUAUUUAGAUAGCCAAUUAAAUUACAACUAGUAGUUCUAAUCUCAACUUUUACUAUUGGAUUACAA
rnacentral:lncRNA from 1 species